UACGAAGGGGGCUAGCGUUGUUCGGAAUUACUGGGCGUAAAGCGUAUGCAGGCGGGUCUCUAAGUCGGGGGUGAAAUCCUGAGGCUCAACCUCAGAACUGCCUUCGAUACUGGAGAUCUUGAGUCCGGGAGAGGUGAGUGGAACUGCAAGUGUAGAGGUGAAAUUCGUAGAUAUUCGCAAGAACACCAGUGGCGAAGGCGGCUCACUGGCCCGGUACUGACGCUGAGGUGCGAAAGCGUGGGGAGCAAACAGG
rnacentral:rRNA from 1 species